AGUGAACGCUGGCGGUAGGCCUAACACAUGCGAGUCGAACGGCAGCACAGUAAGAGCUUGCUCUUACGGGUGGCGAGUGGCGGACGGGUGAGGAAUACAUCGGAAUCUACUUUUUCGUGGGGGAUAACGUAGGGAAACUUACGCUAAUACCGCAUACGACCUACGGGUGAAAGCAGGGGAUCUUCGGACCUUGCUCGAUUGAAUGAGCCGAUGUCGGAUUAGCUAGUUGGCGGGGUAAAGGCCCACCAAGGCGACGAUCCGUAGCUGGUCUGAGAGGAUGAUCAGCCACACUGGAACUGAGACACGGUCCAGAAUCCUACGGGAGGCAGCAGUGGGGAAUAUUGGACAAUGGGCGCUAGCCUGAUCCAGCCAUACCGCGUGGGUGAAGAAGGCCUUCGGGUUGUAAAGCACUUUUGUUGGGAAAGAAAAGCAGCAGGUUAAUACGCAGCUGUUCUGACGGUACCCAAAGAAUAAGCACCGGCUAACUUCGUG
rnacentral:rRNA from 1 species